rnacentral:lncRNA from 1 species
UCACUCACUCACUCACUCACUCACUCACUCUAUCUAUCUAUCUAUCAAUCACACAGAUCAGAUUACCGCAAUCAUCACCGUCGUCGUCGUCAAAAUCACCGUCGUUUUCAUCAUCGUUGAUUGUCAGGGUUUGAAAGAAAGAAGAAGAAAAGCAAAAGGCUGUUUUAUUUUCCCAGUCUACACCAGAUUGAUAAACGAGCGAAAAGAAAGCUUUAAUCAGAACCGGAAAAAGGAAAUCAUUGACCAGACAAGGUUUAAUCUCCGGCAUGCAACGAACUAAGAAGAGAAUAAAAUAAAUAAAAAACCCGCCGAUAUUCUAGAGUUCUUCUACUACCUGAAUGCCGUCUUCUUCGACGGAAUGCGAACGAACAGAUCCGGCGAUCGACAGACGGAGAUCCAAAAUGCAGAGCGGUUGCAACGGUCAAAAUGUAGUGAAGAAUGAAGAAUGAAGGAAGAGAGGAAAAACGGGGAGAGUGUGUAAUAAGUAAUUAAUAACAGCAGUAGUACGACUGUUUUUUUUUGGUGGCAUCGAAAUAAAUCUGUUUCUGUGAAAUUUAAAUUCAAA